AUGAACGCUAGCGAGGCUUAACACAUGCAAGUCGAGGGGCAUCAUGAGGUAGCAAUACCUUGAUGGCGACCGGCGCACGGGUGAGUAACGCGUAUGCAACCUGCCCGAUACCGGGGUAUAGCCCAUGGAAACGUGGAUUAACACCCCAUAGUACUUUUAUCCUGCCUGGGAUGUGAGUUAAAUGUUCAAGGUAUCGGAUGGGCAUGCGUCCUAUUAGUUAGUUGGCGGGGUAACAGCCCACCAAGACGAUGAUAGGUAGGGGUUCUGAGAGGAAGGUCCCCCACAUUGGAACUGAGACACGGUCCAAACUCCUACGGGAGGCAGCAGUGAGGAAUAUUGGUCAAUGGACGUAAGUCUGAACCAGCCAAGUCGCGUGAGGGAAGACUGCCCUAUGGGUUGUAAACCUCUUUUAUAAGGGAAGAAUAAGUUCUACGUGUAGAAUGAUGCCUGUACCUUAUGAAUAAGCAUCGGCUAACUCCGUGCCAGCAGCCGCGGUAAUACGGAGGAUGCGAGCGUUAUCCGGAUUUAUUGGGUUUAAAGGGUGCGUAGGCGGUUUAUUAAGUUAGUGGUUAAAUAUUUGAGCUAAACUCAAUUGUGCCAUUAAUACUGGUAAACUGGAGUACAGACGAGGUAGGCGGAAUAAGUUAAGUAG
rnacentral:rRNA from 1 species